rnacentral:rRNA from 1 species
UUGAACGCUGGCGGCAUGCCUUACACAUGCAAGUCGAACGGUAGAGGGGCAACCCUUGAGAGUGGCGAACGGGUGAGUAAUAUAUCGGAACGUGCCCAGUCGUGGGGGAUAACGCAGCGAAAGCUGCGCUAAUACCGCAUACGAUCUAAGGAUGAAAGCGGGGGAUCGCAAGACCUCGCGCGAUUGGAGCGGCCGAUAUCAGAUUAGGUAGUUGGUGGGGUAAAAGCCCACCAAGCCGACGAUCUGUAGCUG